rnacentral:rRNA from 1 species
UACGUAGGGAGCAAGCGUUGUCCGGAUUUAUUGGGCGUAAAGAGCUCGUAGGCGGCUUAGAAAGUCAGGUGUGAAACCUCCAGGCUCAACCUGGAGGCGCCACUUGAUACUUCUAUGGCUUGAGUUCGGUAGGGGAACACGGAAUUCCUGGUGUAGCGGUGAAAUGCGCAGAUAUCAGGAGGAACACCGAUGGCGAAGGCAGUGUUCUGGGCCGAGACUGACGCUGAGGAGCGAAAGCGUGGGGAGCGAACAGG